rnacentral:tRNA from 1 species
GUCUGGCAAGCCUGAAGAUGGGUCGUUAGCUCAGUUGGUAGAGCAGUUGACUUUUAAUCAAUUGGUCGCAGGUUCG